CUUUUGUCGAUAAAGUUUAGUCAAAGUGUCUCUGCUGCAGCAAUGGCGGCUCCCAUGUCCUGGAGGAGGCUGGUGUACUCGGUGUACACACCGGCCAUCGCCGGGGUUUUUACCCGAAUAUCUGACAGACUCUUCCGUGCACGGGACAGAAGAGGAGGGUCCUCGGUGCUGCUACUAGCCCCCCUCCUGGCUGAAGCCGACCCGGCCCCCCGACGUGUCUCCAGGCCCACCGGGUCAGCUGGGGCUCAGGGCACAGAUGGCCUCUGCACCCGCUUCCAAUGGAUGGCAGAGCAUGUACCUGCCUUCAGGGUGCCAGGAACCCACAUCCACAUCCUCACCUCACCUGAUCAGUUCUACCAGGCCAUGAAGGCACGAAUCAAGACAGCAAAGAGGCGAGUGGUGAUGGCCUCGUUGUAUCUGGGAACAGGUCAGCUGGAGCAGGAACUGGUGGACUGUAUGGAGGAAGCUCUGCAGCGUUCACAGGAAAACAAUCACGCUCCUGACCUAAAAGUCUCAAUAUUGCUGGACUACACACGCGGCUCACGAGGACAGAUUAACUCGAGGACCAUGCUGCUACCGCUGUUGCAGCGCUUCACCUCUCAGAUGCGGGUGUCUCUCUACCACACUCCGGACCUGAGGGGGCUGCUGCGGCUGCUCGUCCCUCAGCGCUUCAAUGAGACCAUCGGAGUACAGCACAUCAAAGUCUACCUGUUUGAUGACAGCAUUAUCAUCAGUGGGGCCAACCUGAGCGACUCGUACUUCACCAACAGACAAGACCGCUAUGUGCUGCUGGAGAACUGCAGCGAGCUCGCCGACUUUUUCUCCGACCUGGUGGAAGCCGUGGGCGACGUUUCCCUGCAGCUUCAGCCUGAUGACUCUGUCAGCAUGCUGGAGGGCAUGGUGCACCCGUACAAAGGCAACAGGCAGGACUUCUCGGCGGUGGCGAGGAAUCGCAUCAUGGAGGUUGUAAACGCAGCCCACGUGAGGCAGCGGCUGAUGAACGGGUCGGAGGACGAGGGGGAGGAGGAGGACACCUGGGUGUUUCCUCUGGUUCAGAUGAAACCUCUGGGGAUCCAGGUGGACGAGCAGGUCACACAGCGCCUGCUGACAGACGCCGGGCCAGACUCCACUGUGUUUCUAACAUCGGGUUACUUCAACCUGACCCGGGCGUACAUGCGGCUGGUGCUCGGGGCCGGAGCCAGCUACCGCAUCCUAACCGCCUCCCCCGAGGUCAACGGGUUCUUCGGCGCCAAGGGUGUCGCCGGAGCGAUCCCUGCAGCUUACAUCCACAUCGCCAAACAGUUUUACAACCAGGUGUGCCGGCUGGGCCAGCAGGAGAGAGUACACCUGCACGAGUACCACAGAUCAAAGUGGACCUUCCACGCAAAAGGCCUGUGGUAUUACCUCCAGGGGCAGGAUCGACCUUGCCUCACUCUAAUUGGCUCCCCUAAUUUUGGUUACCGCUCGGUUCACCGUGACCUGGAGGCCCAAAUCGCCAUUGUAACGGAGAACGAGGAGCUACAGAGCCAGCUGCAGGAGGAGCAGGAGACGUUGUACCAGUGCUCCACUGAGGUCUCCGGUUCUACGUUUGAGCGGCCGGACCGCCACGUGAAGCUGUGGGUGAAACUAGUCACUCCCCUCAUCAAGAAUUUCUUCUGAGAUGCCACCAGGUGGUAACACAAAAAAAUGUCCCGUCCUCGCCUUCCCAGCAGCCCAAAUCACCAAAAUGAGAGCAGGGACAGUGUGUCGGCUGAUUCACUCCUGUCAAGAAGUGAGUCAGUGCGGCGUUAUGGUGAUGAUUUGACAGUGUGGUCUGUGAGUCCUGUGAGGACUUGGCGGGGUGAAGCUAGAGUCUUCGUCAACACUGAAACAGAGGCAGGUGGCUUCGGUUUUCUUCAGUCCAGAUGGUUGAAGGUCUCGGGGGACAUCGGUUCGCUCCUGCAGACGGGAGGGCCGGACACACUCUAGUAUCAGCGGCAUGCUGGGAGUCUUCAGUGUCACCUCGGUUUUAACCCUCAUCAGUGUGUGCCAGGAAGAGAGACUCACACAGGAGCAGAUGUUUGUGGUGCAUUCAGGGGGUAAAUCUUUUCAUUUAAACUCCAGAUCCUGAAUAUCUGUUACUCCUUUAAAAUUGUUUGUUUCAACACUCGAUGUCAUCACACUGUGGAUUUCUGUUUUUAUCACUAACUACAAGCAUUAAAAAUAAUAAUACUACUGUACAUGUUGCAUGUAUAAGAUAGUGAUACAGACUUCAACAGUAAAUGUCCCUGAUGUUUAAUGAAGGCUGUGAUUGUUAACAGAAGGGUGUGGUGAAGUAUUAAAAUCCCUCGAGGAGCCUUAAUAACAGUUUUUAAGAGCUCUUGCAGUGAGUUUACAACUCUGCCUACAGCAGUAAUCAAAACUAACCAUCCACUUUCUGUGUGUUAUCUUUGUAAAUUAAAGGACGAUGUGGUGAGUUUUUAAAAGUA